CAGGUGGGCACUCCUGAGGCUGCAGAGCGGAAGAGACCACCAACACUGCCCACCCCUGCCCACAUCCCUGGCCCAAGAGGAAACUGUAUACGGCCUCUGGGUAGCAGCAGUCUGAGACACCGCCAGAACCGGAAGGGACCGACCGGAUAAACAGUUCUCUGCACCCAAAUCCUGUGGGAGGGAGAGCUAAACCUUCAGAGAGGCAGACAUGCCUGGGAAACCAGAAGAGACUGCACUCUGCACACAUUACUGACGCCAGAGGAAAACACCAAACGCCAUCUGGAACCCUGGUGCACGGAGGCUCCCGGAAAGAGCGGCGCAGAUCUUCUCGGUUGCUGCCGCCGCGGAGAGGACUUAGGCAGUACCCCACGAGCACACUUGAGCCUCGGAACCUCAGGUAGGACCAACUUUUCCCCUGCAAGUGACCUGCCUGGUGAACUCAAGACACAGGCCCACAGGAACAGCUGAAGACCUGUAGAUAGGAAAAACUACAUGCCCGAAAGCAGAACACUCUGUUCCCAUAACUGGCUGAAAGAAAACAGGAAAA
rnacentral:lncRNA from 1 species